rnacentral:rRNA from 1 species
GCGCGAAAACUUUACAAUGCGGGCAACCGUGAUAAGGGAACCUCGAGUGCCUGUAUAUGCAGGCUGUUCAGGUGUCUAAAACACACCUGAAGAAAGGGCCGGGCAAGACCGGUGCCAGCCGCCGCGGUAAUACCGGCGGCUCGAGUGGUGGCCACUUUUUAUUGGGCUUAAAGCGUUCGUAGCUGGGUUGUUAAGUCUCUUGGGAAAUCUGGCGGCUUAACCGUCAGGCGUCUAAGGGAUACUGGCAAUCUUGGAACCGGGAGAGGUGAGGGGUACUUCGGGGGUAGGAGUGAAAUCCUGUAAUCCUCGAGGGACCACCUGUGGCGAAGGCGCCUCACCAGAACGGCUUCGACAGUGAGGGACGAAAGCUGGGGGAGCAAACCGGAUUAGAUACCCGGGUAGUCCCAGCCGUAAACGAUGUGCGUUAGGUGUAUCGGUGACCACGAGUCACCGAGGUGCCGAAGGGAACCGUGAAACGUACCGCCUGGGAAGUACGGUCGCAAGGCUGAAACUUAAAGGAAUUGGGCGGGGGAGCACCACGAACGGGUGAGCCUGCGGUUUAAUUGGA